rnacentral:lncRNA from 12 species
CUCCCCUUUGUAUUUUAAGACCGCUCCCUUCCCUUCUUCCCCUCAAUUAAAAAUUCCCUUCAAUUAAAAGUCCUGGAGGGUUCCUCGCCCUAGAGCUCAGGAGAGAGAAGAUACCCCGGGGGUCACCGGGGGACGCGUCUACCAGCCCACCCAAGGGGCUGGGCCCGGAGCCCUCACUCCCCGGGAGGCGGAGGAAACCCACUGGCCAAUCGCCACCACCGAGGCCCAGAUCUGCUCUCUGAUUGGCUCUAGCGGUGACGCCCCCUCCGAAUUCCUGGCUCUGAUUGGUCUAUUUCCUGACUCCGACCGGGACGGUGGCCAGAGGACAAGAGGCUUCCAGACAGACGGAGGGAUGCUUUGGGGGACGUCGGAGACGCGACCAACAGCCGGCGACAAACAGCCGGACUCCGAGGACACGGCGGCGGGCUCUGUGGUCUCGGGGCUGCUGCUGGCGACGGAGAGGAGCCGGCGGGAGCGCCCCCCGAGCCCGCUGCUGCCGCCGCCGAGUAAUCCUGGCACUUGACUACUCUAUGGAAACAACUUGUCAUGCCUGCAUUGUGGAAGCGGUGUUCACAAUGAAAUGCACAACAUACAAGCUGAAGCAGCACUCAUAGUUGUUGGUGUUUCAGGGAGAACAUUCGUUAUGUUAAAUACAAGAUUCUUUGUUGGGUUGCUUUCUGCCUUAAUGUCAAUCGAUACAUUGGAAGUUAUCGAGAAGUUCAAAUUCUGAUGAAGAAGGAAGAAUUGACCCUUGAAAUGGUUGAUAUUUUAUAAUAUUUUAAUAAAAGGGUGGUGACAGAAAGAGACAUUAUCAAGAAGGAAUUUGGAUAAGGCACAAACCAAAUUUUGAUUACUACCGACUUACUGUCCCUGGUGUUUACAUCUGUCCCAGGUUGACAACUGCUUCCGGAUGGCCCUCUUGGAAUUGGCAGUGGAGGUCAAUUUGGGAGGAAAUCUGUGGCCAUAAACAUUAAAGAAGACAAGUGGACAAGUGGAUUCUUGGUGACAUUGA